GUGGCUGGACGUUCAGUCGGGAUACCCUUCACGGAUACUUGCCAUUCGGCAGAACAAAUUCCAACGGAAUUUGAGUCA
rfam:Legionella israelensis strain Bercovier 4 Lisr_ctg073, whole genome shotgun sequence.